rnacentral:rRNA from 1 species
GACGAACGCUGGCGGCGUGCUUAACACAUGCAAGUCGAACGAAGUGGCGAACGGGUGAGUAACGCGUAAUCAACCUGCCCUUCAGGGGGGGACAACAGUUGGAAACGAAUGCUAAUACCGCAUACUGAAGCAGGGGAUUGCGUCUGAUUAGCUCGUUGGGGGGGUAACGGCCCACCAAGGCGAGGAUCAGUAGCCGGUCUGAGAGGAUGACCGGCCACAUUGGGACUGAGACACGGCCCAGACUCCUACGGGAGGCAGCAGUAGGGAAUCUUGGGCAAUGGACGAAAGUCUGACCGAGCAACGCCGCGUGAGUGAAGAAGGUUUUCGGGUUGUAAAGCUCUGUUGUUGGAGAGCGGUACCCAACGAGAAAGCAACGGCUAACUACGUGCCAGCAGCCGCGGUAAUUC